AUUGAACGCUGGCGGCAGGCCUAACACAUGCAAGUCGAACGAGUGGCGGACGGGUGAGUAAUGUCUGGGAAACUGCCUGAUGGAGGGGGAUAACUACUGGAAACGGUAGCUAAUACCGCAUACCAUCAGAUGUGCCCAGAUGGGAUUAGCUUGUUGGUGGGGUAACGGCUCACCAAGGCGACGAUCCCUAGCUGGUCUGAGAGGAUGACCAGCCAACCUGGAACUGAGACAGGGUCCAGACUCCUAGGGGGGGAAGCAGGGGGAAAUAGUGCACAAUGGGCGAAAGCCUGAGGCGGCCAUGCCGGGUGUAUGAAGAAGGCCUUCGGGUUGUAAAGUACUUUCAGCGGGGAGGCGUUACCCGCAGAAGAAGCACCGGCUAACUCCGUGCCAGCAGCCGCGGUAUUC
rnacentral:rRNA from 1 species